ensembl:snoRNA
ACCCUCCAGAUUCCUCACUCGUCAGAUCUAAACACUGAUCGGAAUGGUGAUAAAAGGAGGAAAAGUAAAAUAGAAACUGACUUCCUUUCUUUUGUGACAUAAAAGCUAGUUUGAAAUAAAC